AUUGAACGCUGGCGGCAGGCUUAACACAUGCAAGUCGAGCGGUAGCACAGGGGAGCUUGCUCCCUGGGUGACGAGCGGCGGACGGGUGAGUAAUGUCUGGGAAACUGCCUGAUGGAGGGGGAUAACUACUGGAAACGGUAGCUAAUACCGCAUAACGUCGCAAGACCAAAGAGGGGGACCUUCGGGCCUCUUGCCAUCAGAUGUGCCCAGAUGGGAUUAGCUAGUAGGUGGGGUAAUGGCUCACCUAGGCGACGAUCCCUAGCUGGUCUGAGAGGAUGACCAGCCACACUGGAACUGAGACACGGUCCAGACUCCUACGGGAGGCAGCAGUGGGGAAUAUUGCACAAUGGGCGCAAGCCUGAUGCAGCCAUGCCACGUGUGUGAAGAAGGCCUUCGGGUUGUAAAGCACUUUCAGCGAGGAGGAAGGUGGUGAACUUAAUACGUUCAUCAAUUGACGUUACUCGCAGAAGAAGCACCGGCUAACUCCGUGCCAGCAGCCGCGGUAAUACGGAGGGUGCAAGCGUUAAUCGGAAUUACUGGGCGUAAAGCGCACGCUGGCGGUUUGUUAAGUCAGAUGUGAAAUCCCCGGGCUCAACCUGGGAACUGCAUUUGAAACUGGCAAGCUAGA
rnacentral:rRNA from 1 species